rnacentral:piRNA from 1 species
UCCUACUAACAGAAAUCAAGACCACUCAC